AAGUCGAGCGAACAGACGAGGAGCUUGCUCCUCUGACGUUAGCGGCGGACGGGUGAGUAACACGUGGGUAACCUACCUAUAAGACUGGGAUAACUCCGGGAAACCGGGGCUAAUACCGGAUAACACAUGAAACCGCAUGGUUUCAUGAUGAAAGACGGUUUUGCUGUCACUUAUAGAUGGACCCGCGGCGUAUUAGCUAGUUGGUAAGGUAACGGCUUACCAAGGCAACGAUACGUAGCCGACCUGAGAGGGUGAUCGGCCACACUGGAACUGAGACACGGUCCAGACUCCUACGGGAGGCAGCAGUAGGGAAUCUUCCGCAAUGGGCGAAAGCCUGACGGAGCAACGCCGCGUGAGUGAUGAAGGUCUUCGGAUCGUAAAACUCUGUUAUUAGGGAAGAACAAGGGUGUAAGUAACUAUGCACCCCUUGACGGUACCUAAUCAGAAAGCCACGGCUAACUACGUGCCAGCAGCCGCGGUAAUACGUAGGUGGCAAGCGUUAUCCGGAAUUAUUGGGCGUAAAGCGCGCGUAGGCGGUUUUUUAAGUCUGAUGUGAAAGCCCACGGCUCAACCGUGGAGGGUCAUUGGAAACUGGAAAACUUGAGCGCAGAAGAGGAAAGUGGAAUUCCAUGUGUAGUGGUGAAAUGCGCAGAGAUAUGGAGGAACACCAGUGGCGAAGGCGACUUUCUGGUCUGCAACUGACGCUGAUGUGCGAAAGCGUGGGGAUCAAA
rnacentral:rRNA from 1 species